CACAGGGUAGCCUCCUUGUAGUGCUAUCUGCUCCGCCCCUCUUCCUCCCCAGUCCCCACCACACACUCACACAGCCCCGGGCAACUCACGCUCCUGCCCACCACAAAGCCCCCAGGCACCUCUGCUGCGGCCUCCUCCGGACCUCUUUCUACCGGCGCCUCCACUCCUCCAUCCCCUCCAGCCCCGCUCCGCCGUCGUCUCCACUAUGACACCCCCUCCAGCCCCGCUCCGUCGCCCCCUCCAGGAUCCAGCCACUAACUCCACCACCGCAUGUGCCCAUCUCCGCCAACAGUGUUUGACUUUGACGUACAAGAACUAGACCAAGAAGAGAGAGAAGCGAAAGCCACCCUUCGAGCCAUGGACCCCGCGACGGCGGCCAUGGGCUCCCUCCUCCCCAAGCUGUUCGAGCUCCUCCACGGAGAAUACAAGCUGCAGAAGGGCGUGAAGAAAGACGUACAAUUUCUCGAGAGGGAGAUGAGGAGCAUAGACGCCGCCCUCCGCAAAGUGGCCAUGGUGCCGCGCGACAAGCUCGACGACAACUCCAAGAUCUGGGCCAAUGAUGUCAGGGAGCUGGCAUACGAGAUGGAGGAUGUGGUUGAGCGCUUCAUGGUGGGCGUCCAGGGCUUUGAGCCCGCCGCUAACCCCGACGGCUUCAAAGGGUUCGUGAAGAAGGUGGCCAGCUUGUUCACAAAAGGCAAGGCGCGCCACCAGAUCGCCGAUGCAAUCAAAGGCAUCAAGGAUCAGGUCCAGCAGGUGGCGGAUCGACGCGACCGGUACAAGAUUGAUGAUGUUGAGGCAACUCUACUAGCUGCUUCAACCAUGGUUGACCCUCUGGACCCUCGCUUGAUGGUUCAGUUCAAAGAUCAGAGAGAGCUUGUUGGCAUCGAGGGGCCAAGAGACGAGCUAAUCAAGAGGCUGGCAGGUGAAGAUGGUUGUGUGUCCAGGCAGCAGCUCAAGAUCCUCUCGAUCUUCGGAUUUGGAGGACUUGGCAAGACAACCCUUGCCAGAGCAGUUUACGACAAGAUACAAGCAGAAUUCAUAUGUAAGGCUUUUGUUUCGGUCGGUCAGAAGCCUAAUCUGAAGAAUGUUCUCGUAGGUAUUCUCCUCCGAAUUGACAAAGCCUCUUGUCACAAUGUUACAUUGUUAGAUGAGGUGCUGCUCAUUGAGAAACUCCGAGAACUGCUUACGAACAAGAGGUACCUUAUCAUAAUUGAUGAUAUAUGGGAUAUGAGUUCAUGGGAUAUAAUCAAAUGUGUUUUUACUGAUAGUAAGUGUGGAAGCAGAGUAAUCACAACUACUCGUAUCUUUGAAGUGGCAAAAGAGGCUGGUGACAUUUACAAGCAAGAACCUCUUUCUCCAGGUAGAUCGAAGGAAUUGUUCUGUAUGAGAUUGUCUAUUGGCAAAAGCAAAAGUCCUUAUCAUGAAUCGGUUAAGAUAUCUGAGAAGAUAUUGCAGAAAUGUGGUGGCAUACCGCUAGCUAUCAUUACAAUAGCUAGCUUGUUGGCUAGUAAACCAGUAACAGAUUGGCCUGGGGUCUAUGACUCUAUUGGUUUCGGGAAUGAAGAUAACAAAGAAGUGGAUACCACAAGAAAGAUAUUGCUAUAUAGCUACUAUGAUCUUCCAUAUUAUCCACGGCUUUGCCUAUUGCACCUAGGCAUAUACCCCGAAGAUUAUGAGAUAAAAAAGGACACUUUAAUUUGGAAGUGGGUGGCUGAAGGAUAUGUCCGUGAGGAACCAGGAAAAGGAUUAUUUGAGGUUGGAGAGAGAUACUUCAACAUGCUCAUAGACAGAAGCAUGAUCCAGGCAGUGGAGAGGCCAUAUCACAGCAUCAUAUAUGCUUGUCGUGUGCAUGAUUUGGUACUUGAUAUGAUUCAUUUUCUUUCAGAAGACGAAAGUUUUGUUACUGCAUCGAACAGUAACAUGACAUCUCCACGUACCACUUCUCGUAGGUUGGCCAUAAAUAAUGAAAUCAUAGAGCAGGAUGGAUCUGUCGCUAACAUGAGCAUGAAGCAGGUGAGGUUAUAUAGUGCCACCAUGUGUCACUUUAGUACGUUGCCAGUGCUUUCAAACUUUAAAGCUCUACGUGUGUUGGCUUUAGAAGACUGCACUUUCAUGGGAAGUGAGCGCUCUGUGAAGCCGGAAGAUUCUCCUUAUCAUCUUAAUUAUCUUGGGAGGCUGAUUCACCUGAGGUACCUUGGGUUCUCAGACCGGCUGGUUGGGUUCUCCCUGCCUGGGAUCUCCAUGCCGCUUAUCUUAGAGGUCCCUGAAGAAAUAGGGGAUUUAAGGUUUUUGCAAGUACUGGACUUGGGCAGAACUGGCAUUAAAAAACUGCCUCAAACUGUUGGUCGGCUAACGCAAUUGAAGUGCCUGCGCUUUGGCGGUUCCAGUAUGGAGGUGUUGGACUGCACGAAUUUAACAUCCCUAGAAGAGCUACAGUUGCACCUUGCCUCUCCAGAUUUUCUGAAAGGGCUUGCCAAGCUAAAGGAGUUGAGAAAGUUUAGCCUACACUUUGAAGAGGAGCACGGUAAUAUGUUGUUCAAAGAUUUGAUGGGACAUGUUGCCAAUCUACAAAAACUUCAAGUCAUAAUGGUUACUUGUAGGCAUCGACCGUAUCCUCAGCCUUGGUCCGAUUACACUGGCUCUGUGACCCUUGGGCACCUCCGUCAUCUGACAGUGAAUGGCCUGCUUCCUGGGCUACCAGUGUGGAUUAACUCCUCAUGCCUCCCGAACCUCUGCCACUUGUAUAUGGAACUGACGGCUAUGAAAUCGCAGGAUAUGGAGAUCCUCGGGAGAUUCUCAGAGCUCAUUACUCUCACCGUUCUUCUCUAUGAUUACAUGGCUUUUCCUAACGCCAUGGAGGAGGGUGCAUUCCCCAAGUUGAGAUACUUGGAACUGAAGAAUUUUAACCAACCCAGAUUUGUACUGGGAGCAAUGUCCAGCCUUGAGUGUUUUAGGAUAAUAAUCGGCCUGGAAGGGACCAAUGGCUGGGACUUCCAUAGCCUGGUGAACCUCCCUCGUCUUGAGAAAGUUGAUGCUGAAAUCCUAGGCAACACUACCAUGGGUAUCAACGAAGACGAGUUGCAGGCACAUGAGUCGUUGAAGCAGGCACAUGCAUCGUUGAAGCAUGCAGUUGAGAUCCAUCCCAAUCAUCCCGCACUCAAGUUGCAGAUUUAUCAUAGUUGAUCCGAUUUCCCAGCCGUCUUGCACUCAAUGUACCUCUUACGGCUUCAUUUGACAGAAGGAGGCCUUCAUGCAGAUAGUAAUGGAGAUGGAGUUCUAGAUCAUGUUCAGAUCAGAACAGAGCUGUGGUCUGUGGAGAUGGCAAAGUUGACCGGGAUUAAAUCCGUAGGAUGGACUUCAAGCUAAUGAGAUACGGUACAAGAUUGAGUGGCUAAAAAAGUUUUAUGUUCCCGGUGUACUGCAUGGAUUGCUGGUCCUUGUACAUCCUGGAGGCAGAGAAGAAGAUCUUCAGGGUGUUGAACCCGACUGAGACACACCCCAGUGACGGGAUGGAAACGAAACACAGUGCCUUUGCAAAGAGAACCCAGCGUCGAUUCUGACAAUGCUUCAACAAUAUAUUCGGUGGAUGAUUGGUUGACGUGGACGGAUGGACUUCUGUCUAUCCGUUGGUGGCCCAUCGCGAUCCUUGUACAAGGGAGGAGAGCGGUAUUUACAUUGUGCAUUACAUCCAUGAGUUCAAUGGGCUGUACCUGCAUCUUGUAAUGAACAUAGGUUACAGUAAUAUGUGAUCUCAUUUGUGUUGCAAAUAUUGUUUUAUCACCUACGGAAAAGUCUCGAAUAUGAGAUCGUGACUAUGAGAGAGUAUCAGGGUGACCUGCCAAGUUUCCUGUACCUCGAAAUCGUGGACUGAGGGGAUGAAGUCAGAAUAGUUGCAGGGCGGCCCUCGAAGUGUGGGUUCUGUGGACAUUGGAUUUGAAUGUGUAUUGUUGGACGUAAAGUGCUAGUGGAAUGUUGAAGUCGCAGCAUUUCCCUGAAAUUUCCAUGAAAUGUUUGAAGUCGGACCUAAAGUGCCAGCGGAUAUAAAAGGACGGCUAGUGUUGUGUCAGGCAGUUUAUGAGUUGCAGAUGGAACAUGAUGGCUCAGUAUUAGAGCUGAGACGCGGGGGACUGGCUGUUCCGGCCGGACGGUGAGGACGCCUACCGCAAUAAAUGAGCCAGGGCCCACAUCAUUUCUAU